GGUAGAUAUAACUCACGUAAGUAGAAGCUCUUUGGAGUCGUCAACAAUUUUAAGAAUGUGAAGGGGUUCUGAAUCCAAACAGUUUGAGAGCAGCUGACUUAGGGGGUCUCAGACCACCCUGGACGCAGGCGCACAACCACACUCCCUCCCUGGAAAGCCAUGACCUCAGGCUGGCACGUAAAGGACACAGUCCCAGCAGAAGUGGCAUGGAUCUGGAUGGAGGCAGCCCCUGGCUCGCGCCUGGAGUGAGGACGUGCAUCUGCAGUGCGCACAGCGCCGCAUGGAGAGCGGCUGAGGACUUGGAGUCAGGGAUGCAUCUUAGAGACGAGAAUCAGAAAGGCAGGAUGAAGCUCUCAACUCUCACUCUCUCUCGAAUAAGGUUCCUGGAAGGAGAUGGUGCCCCAGGGUUCCUGUGGUGAGAGGGCACACCAAUUGAUACUUUUCAACACCCCAGCCAUCGUGUGCCAGUGACACACUGCAGUAGAAACACUCUUCUGUCUGCAAAUACUCUCAAUACUCUUGAAAUAUUUCCCUAAGACACAAGUAUCUAAGCGCCCCUCACCCCCGCCACAGCUCCCAAUUGCAGGGUGCACACCCGGAAAGGGCACAGUAGAUGCCGACGGUCUGCUGGAUGGAAACUGUGUUUGUAAGACUUUCAGCUUCUCCUCGUCACUGCAACCCCGGACCCCAGCUGUUGGUGCUGGCCAGGAGAAGUCAGAGCAAUUUAAUCCUCACCUGAGGCAAGGAAUUAGGUGAUGAUCUGAGAAUAACGCAAAGAGAAUCGGGUUCAGAUUCCAUCUUUGCCAUUAACUAUCUACAGUCCCCAGAAAGGCACUUUCCUCUCUGGGCCUCAGUUUGCCCACCUGUGAAAUCAGAGGUACAGGUUAGACAACGUGGAAGGGCCUUCCUCUUCUGACAUCCUACAACACAGGACAUUUCUAAUGCUCCAAAGACCCUGGGGGAUUUAGUUAACAUCUGUCUGGAAGGCUGGUGAUUAGUAAUGAGACUGAUUCAAAAAGUGGAAAAGCUUAAUGGGAAUAGGCAUAUAGUUUGUGAGGAUUCAUCCCCUCAAGCAAAUUCAUCCGCUACUUUAUAUGAGAUGGAAAACAAACGUAUACCCAGUUACAGCUACAAAAAGAUUAAGCAGCACAGAGUCAGUCAGUCAGUCAGCCAACAAAUAUUUAGUAAGAACCUUGGAUGUGCCCAGAAUUGUGCUAAGUCCUGGGCAAACAGUGAUGGUCACAAACAGACAUGGGCCCUGCCCUUGUGGAGGUUACAGUCUAACGGGAGAGACGGAGAUCAAUCAAAGGACUAUAUAGCCACGUAUACAGUUACAAACUGACAUAAGUACUAAAGAAAAGAAGCAAGGUAUUCUGAGAAGACCUGAGCUAGACUGGGGAACAGCGAAAAACUCAUUUGAGGAAGUAACAUCUGAGCUGAGAACUGAAGGAGGAACAGAGAGAUUCUAAAAAUUUUGAGGAGAGAAAGGACAAUGUCUUCAGAUCAAUGGAGAAAGGAUCAACUACUGUUUUCAACAAAUGGCCUGAGAUAACUGGCUACACAUUCCAGAACAAAUAAAGAAGUCAGAGCCUAACCCUAACACUGCAUAGUGGAUUAUGGAUUAAAGAAAGUUAGAAAUGGC
rnacentral:lncRNA from 1 species